rnacentral:lncRNA from 1 species
AAGCAUGCACAGGUGUGCGGGAGGAGGAAAAGAAUGGCCUGUGUGAGUUGGAACUGGGUGGGGAUGAUGUGGGGUCCCCAAGGCCAGCUGGCUGCUCAGAGCUGAGGGGAAGAGGGUCUAGAGCCGAAGCACCCAGUUUGGAACCCCUCUCAGAUGCCCAUGUUUGCGCUCAAGAAGAGCUCCCACAUCGUUCCAGCAUUUUUUGUGGUAUUGGCUGCACAAGGCAGUGUGCUCUGCCCUGAAUGCCCAGCCUUGGCUGGGGAGAUGGUGACGAUGAGGGUGGUGGCUCAUGGUAACGAAGGCUCCAAUCUAAGACAAUUCUGAAUAGUUGUACAGCUAUUAACUGACUUCAAUCUCUGACAGUCCAUUGAGAAAGGGAAGGAAGUGGAAAGGCAUUAUCACCAUUAUGUUAUCACUAUUUUACUAAUGAGGAAAUGGGCUCAGGCAGUCCGGCUACUAGGUACUGCCACUAGUAGGUGGUGGGACGCAAACCUGGCCCCUCACUUGGAGACACUCUGCAAAUGAAUGAGCUCACAGCCCCAGUCUUGAGGCCACAUGCCUGUCUGAGGCAGGGGAAUGUGGACUGUGGCUCUGAGAAAGUCAUGAAUGUGCUUACUCUGCUGUGACAUUGUGAUAGCAUCACUUUGAGUGCAAAUGAGACAACAGAAAUGAAAAUCUCAAGCAGAGAAGAGGCGCUCCUUAAAUGUUUGUUGACAAGAUAUUGAAUUCAAGGUUGUCAUUGAGCUUUUUUGGUUUUAUUUAUUUAUUUUGUUCAGUCUACGUUUCUUUACACUCCUUUCUGGAGGCUUGUAUAUUUUGUUCAUACUUUUUCAUUCUGACAUAGCAGAAAACAGAGAGUCUGGUCCCGCCUUUUGAAUCUCAGAGGUUUAGGCCCCGGGAUAAGAAAAAAGAUUGGGAAAAAGGCAUGAUGGUAGAAGAACUGGCCCAUGCCGUGUGCUAGGUAAAGGUUUCCUGGGCUCAGGGGAGGAGAGAGUCAGAGGUGAAGAAAAGUAGAGAUGCUAGUGGGGCCCUGAGAAGGAGCCCUAUAUUUUAGAUAAAUGUGGUCUAAAACUUGUCUCUGACAUAUUAGCUGUUAGGAUGUCUCUAGAGCACUGGGAGAGGGUGGUUGAUCCGUGAUGACUAAACAUAUGAAGGGAUAAGAAAGGCUUGUUGGAGAAGUGGGGUUUGAGCAGUCACAUGUUGCAAACCCAUUGGAUGGAGAGCUCUUCGUAGAAGAGGAAUGGGACUUUGGGUUUCUGGGCCAAGAAAGAACUGGAACUUGAUCUUACAUCUUGACUUCUUCAUUUUCUGCUUUCUUCUGCAAGCAGCUCGCUCUUUCAUCAUCUCUAUAUCCUAGCUUGCUCUGAAAUUUGGGGAAGAGAGAACUCUUGCUUCUGCAAGCUCUUUGCAUUCCUGAGGGGCUGAAGAGUUCUGUCAUGGACCUGGUUUGUAGUCAGCUAUCACUUAGUAUUAAACCACUACCUCUACACUUGGUCCAGGUUGUAUACCAAUACUGCUGUCGGAAGAAGAUGCAUAGCCAGGUAGAAUGGCUCCUCAGAGGGGGGACUUGCACUUUGCAUCUGUCUGAUUGACUAGGGCAUAAAGUCCGCACAGUACUUGCUUCCCUCCUGGUAGGUGGGAUGGAAAGUGCAGGUUCUGGAGAUCAGACAGAAUUGGGAGAGGCCUGGAUAUUCACAGCUAAUAGUUCUCUCUUAUUGACUCAGUUUGAACUGUAUUUUUUUUUUUUUUUUGUCUUUUGUAGCUGUUGGAAUACAGUGCAGACUAUUACUCUGACCAUUUUGCUCCAGGAAAAGCAUUAGUAAUUUAUAAAUAAAAUCCACAUAAAAAUAGAAGUCAAAUAUAGGUUUAUUGACAACAAAGGCACUAUUAAUGUUGGAAUGGGCCGGUUUGAAGUUGAGUGAGUUUUUGUUGCUGAUUUAUGUGCUGUUUUAAGAGGACGACAGUUGUGAGGGCGAGUUUUGAGGGUUCUUAGGAGCUGGCAGCUGGUAAGGAGGUUUGCAGAAAACUAUUUAUUUCUCUUGAAUUUAUCCUACUUGUUAAAUAAAAUUUGGCAGAUGGAUUGCAACAAGAGUAACGAAGCCAUCAUGUAGCCUCGUUUUAUCUUUAGCGUAUCAGUUGUUAUAUGGAAAAGGGAGUUUUCUUAGUUUGGGGGAGUUCUCUCCUCUUGGUGGAGAGAAUUGGAUUCAUUUAACUGGAAAAUUAGGAGAAUUGAAAGUUCAUUUCUGAGCUUUACCACCCAGGGUAGUUGCCUGUUAAAUCCUUUCACCAGGGCCCAUCUGAUUUGCCAGUGCUGUGAAAUGUUUUAGGGCAGACAUGCAAAAUUUGUGAUCCUUAAGGUCCCCGACGCCCCCUGAUUCCAGUGGUAGCAAACUUCAGGGUCAAUUUUUCCUUCUAAGUCCCGGUUUCUGUAUGUGCAUGCACACAUGUGUGUGCUCUUGCUUUUUGUCCUGGUCUUUGCUUUGUGUGUGUUGGUCUGCUCUCUUGCUUGCAGACAGCACAUUGUGUCAAGAAGGCACAGAUGCCAUCCCCCUGGAGAAGGACCAACAUCUCAAGAGAGCCUUAGCACAUGUGGGUGGCUGGUUGGUAAACUGCAGGAAUGCUGGGUAUUUGUGAUGACUCUGUUGGUUUCUUGUUACCGCUGUAACAAAUUAUUGCAUGCUAAGCGGCUUAAAAUGACACAGACUUACUGACUUACUAUCUUCCAUUUUGGAGGUCAGAAGUCCAAGCUAGGCCUUACUGAGCUAAAAUCAAGGUGUUGGCAAGGGCUGUGCUCCUUCUAGAGGCUGUAGGGGAAAUCUGUUUUCUUACCUUUCUAGCUUCGAGGCUGCCCACAUUCCUUGGCUUAGGACCCUGUAUCACUCCAGCGUCUGCUUCAUUUUGCACAUCUUCUCAGGGAAGUACUCUUACAAAAGACCCUUGUGCUUAGCAUGGAGCCUAUCUGCAUAAUCCAGGAUAAUCUCCCCAUGGCAAGAUUGUUAAGUGAAUCCCACAAGCAGAAUCGCUUUUGCCAUGUAAGGUAAUACUCGCAGGUUCUAGGGAUAAGGAUGUGGACCCUUUGCAGGGUUGUGGGGGCAUAUCUUUACCUUUGCCAAUGGGCAAGAAGACAUCAGGUGGUAAAGAUGGACUUAUUUCUCUGGCCAGUUUUCUCAGGAGCCUUCCUGAACUUCUGAAAUCACCCUGUUGGUAUAAUGGGAAUGAUUAUUUCUGUUUGGGGGGAAUGUAACAUAAACUAUACAACUUAGCUUUAUUCCUGCUCAUGGUACAGUUGAUUGAAAGGCAACUCCUUUUUACCUGUUCCCCCCUCCCCCCUUCUUGUUUCCCAAGACAAAAUUCUACCACUUUCUGGCUAUAUUCUAUAUUUGUCUCUUUUUUUUCAAAUCUGACAACUAAACCCCAAAACGUCAGUCUCUAAAUGUUGUAUAUUUCUUGUCUCUGAUAUGAGGAAGGUCACUGUCUUCACUUGGAAGGGCUGGAGCAGGUGGUCUGUCUAGUGUCUGUUCAGAAUGUGCAUUGCAUGAUGUCACAGUGGUUGGGCCUGGGAGGUCUUAGUGAGGGGGACUGGACCCUGAGGACAUUUUGGAAUUUCUGUUCUGGAUAGCAGAAAAAGCACAGAAUGUUUAUCACCUGAUGAAUGAAUAAAAUGUGGUAUAUCCAUACAAUGUAAUAGUAUUCAACCCUAAAAAGGAAUGAAGUAUUGAUGUAUGCUACUAUGUAGAUGAAUAUUUAUUUCUUAUGUAAAUUUUUUUUUUUUUUUUUUUUUUUUGCUCUUUAGGGCCACAACCUUGGCGUAUGAAAGUUCCCAGGCUAGAGGUUGAAUUGGAGCUGCAGCUGCCAGCCUACUCCACAGCUGCAGCAAUGUGGGAUCUGAGCCUCAUCUGUGACCUAUAGCACAGCUCAUGGCAACGCCAGAUCCUUAACCCACUUAGUGAGGCCAGGGAUCGAACUGCAUCCUCAUGGACCCUAGCCAGGUUUGUUACUGUUGAGCUACAAUGGGAACUCCUGUAGAUGAAUUUUUAAAACACUCUGCUAAGUUAAAGAUGCUAGACAAAAACGUGACAUAUUUAAUGAUUCUAUUUACUUGAAAUAUCUUGCAUAAAUAAAUCCAUGGUGAUAAAAUUGAUUACUGGUUGCCAGGGGCUGGGGAGGGAGUGACCAUUUAACGGUAUGGAGUUUCCUUUUAAGAUGAUGAAAAAAUUUUGGAACUAUAUAGAGGUGGUAGCUGUACAAUAUUGUGAAUAUAUGAAAUGCUACUUAAUUAUUAAAUUUAAAAUAGUUAAGUUUUUGUGAUGAGCGUUUUACCUCAAUUAAGGAAAAAGACUUCAUAUUUCUGGUCCAACAUGUAACAAGCUUCGAAAUUUCCUGCAUCCUAACAAUAGAUAAAAGCUGAACAACCUGAAAAAUGAACAACUUUUCUUGGAUCCCUAAGGGAACUGAGGUCACACAGGGCAAACUAGUGCCCCAGAACUGGCAGGACAGGAGAAUACAGAGAAUCUCAACUUAGCAGAGCAGCAGCUUCCCUAGGGACCAGUGCCUGGGUAGAGAAAGCUCAGUUUUCAGUAAUGGAAAAAUUGCCAGAGGUGCAGUGUGGACAACUCGGGAGAGUGGAUAACUAACUACAGGGGACCUAGUUACCAAGUGGCCCUCCAUACUGCUGUGCUCUUUACCUCCUGGACCUCAGUGGAAAACGGAGAAACAUCCCAUCAAGCUUCUGGCAGGAAGAGGGGGAAAGGAAUGACUUUGAAAUAAGCUAGAGCUUAACAAAGUCUGCCCUCAGGAGAAUUACUUUACUGGAGUCUAACUUCCCUGGAAGGAGGGAAAUACCCAACUCUAGCUGCCUCUAGCCAGGCUGU